GCAGCGGUCGGAUAAUGGUAUUCCACCAGCCUCGAGAGCUGGCGCCGAAAGGUGUGGGAGUUCGACUCUCCCUCGCUGCG
rnacentral:tRNA from 1 species